UCCGUAGGGUGAACCUGCGGAGGGAUCAUUACACAAUAAAAUACGAAGGCCGUUCGCGGCUGGACUAUUUAUUACCCUUGUCUUUUGCGCACUUGUUGUUUCCUGGGCGGGUUCGCUCGCCACCAGGACCACAAUAUAAACCUUUUUUAUGCAGUUGCAAUCAGCGUCAGUAUAACAAAUGUAAAUCAUUUACAACUUUCAACAACGGAUCUCUUGGUUCUGGCAUCGAUGAAGAACGCAGCGAAAUGCGAUACGUAGUGUGAAUUGCAGAAUUCAGUGAAUCAUCGAAUCUUUGAACGCACAUUGCGCCCUUUGGUAUUCCAAAGGGCAUGCCUGUUCGAGCGUCAUUUGUACCCUCAAGCUUUGCUUGGUGUUGGGCGUUUUUGUCUUUGGCCCGCCAAAGACUCGCCUUAAAAUGAUUGGCAGCCGGCCUACUGGUUUCGCAGCGCAGCACAUUUUUGCGCUUGCAAUCAGCAAAAGAGGACGGCAAUCCAUCAAGACUCCUUCUCACGUUUGACCUCGGAUCAGGUAGGGAUACCCGCUGAACUUAAGCAUAUCAAUAAGCCGGAGG
rnacentral:rRNA from 1 species